UACGAAGGGUGCAAACGUUGCUCGGAAUCAUUGGGCGUAAAGCGCACGUAGGCGGCUCCAAAAGUCGGAUGUGAAAUCCCUCGGCUCAACCGAGGACGUGCAUCCGAAACUGCGGAGCUUGAGUAUGGAAGAGGGUCGCGGAAUCCCCGGUGUAGAGGUGAAAUUCGUAGAUAUCGGGGGGGAACACCAGUGGCGAAGGCGGCGACCUGGGCCAAUACUGACGCUGAGGUGCGAAAGCGUGGGGAGCAAACAGG
rnacentral:rRNA from 1 species